rnacentral:rRNA from 1 species
AGGAUUAACGCUAGCGACGUGCCUAAGGUAUGCAAGUCGAACGAUGAAAUUUGAGUAGCAAUACAAGAAUUUCGUAGUGGCAGACGGCUGAGUAACACGUGGGAAUUUCCCCCAAACUCGAGCAUAUCUCACCGAAAGGUGGGGUAAUUCUCGAUAGUCUCGCAAGAGUAAAGCUUCGGCGGUUUGGGAUGAGCCCGCGUCCUAUCAGGUUGUUGGUGAGGUAAUGGCUUACCAAGCCUAUAACGGGUAGCUGGUCUGAGAGGAUGGCCAGCCAGACUGGGACUGAGAUACGGCCCAGACUCCUACGGGAGGCAGCAACUAGGAAUUAUGCACAAUGGACGAAAGUCUGAUGCUGCGACGUCGCGUGGAGGAUGAAGGUCUUCGGAUCGUAAACUCCUUUUAUUGGGGAACAAAUUUUGAGGGUACCCAAUGAAUAAGUGCCUGCUAACCACGUGCCAGAAGCAUCGGUAAUACGUGGGACACAAGCGUUAUCCGGAUUUACUGGGCGUAAAGAGAUGCGUAGGUGUCUUGAUAAGUUCUGUGUUAAAUCCCAAUGCUAACAUUGGAAUCGCAUGGAAAACUAUCAAGAUUGAGCCAAAUAGAGGAAAGGGGAAUUCCUGGUGGAGCGGUUAAAUGCGUUGAUAUCAGGAGGAAUACCAAUGGCGAAGGCACCUUUCUGGAUUUGUGCUGACACUAAGGCUCGAAAGCGUGGGGAGCAAAACGGAUUAGAUACCCGUGUAGUCCACGCUGUAAACAAUCCUCGUUAGAUUUCUGUCUUAGCUCUUUAGAUUUUUCCUUCGGGAAAGGUUUUGGGGCCUGAUGGGAGUCGCAGCUAACGCGUUAAACGAGGCGCCUGGGAAGUACGGCCGCAAGGCUAAAACCCAAAGGAAUUGACGGGGACCCGCACAAGCAGUGGAGCGCCUGGUUUAAUUCGAUGAUCAGCGAAGAACCUCACCUGGGCUUGAACUGUAGCUGCACGCCUCCAGAAAAGGAGGAAGCCUUCGAGGGUGCUAUAGAGUUGGUGCAUGGCUGUCGUCAGCUCGCGUCGUGAGAUGUAGGGUUAAGUCCCACAACGAGCGCAACCCCUACCCGAUGUUAUAAUUACUUCGGGGACUGCCCCGCUUUAACGGGGAGGAAGGAGGGGAUGAUGUCCAGUCAUCAUGUCCCUUAUGUCCAGGGCUACACAGACGCUACAAUGGCUACUACAAUGGGCUGCCAAACCGCGAGGUGGAGCUAAUCCCAUCAAAAGUAGUCUCAGUUCAGAUUGCAGGCUGCAACUCGCCUGCAUGAAGUCGGAAUUGCUAGUAAUCGCGUAUCAGCAUGGCGCGGUGAAUACGUUCUCGGGUCUUGUACACACCGCCCGUCAGGGCAUGGGAGUUGCUCUUGCUCGAAGUUCCUGUUUACCAGGGCCGACAGUAAGGGUGACGACUGGGCUUAAGUCGAACAAGGUA